UACAACGUAAAACGUAUAAAUUUGGCGAAUUGGUAUUUUUUUAAUUUAUUGACUGUUGACAAUAUGACGUCCAUAAACAUUUUAACUUUGUUUUUAAUUUUUAUUAUAUUUCUAAUUCAAAUUGCAAGUAUUUACAGUGCGCCACAAUUAUUUAACUCUGGAUUCCCGACAUCCCUUCUCGGUGUCAAUAGUGCUUUAUUAAAUCUAACUCUCGGCUAAGAAAUGGAGGUUGUUAUUUGCAGAUAUACCAAUGAUAUGUAUUUGGAGAUAUUUCAAGUUUUACGAUGUGGCAUAAAAUAAAAUUUUAGGACAUA